rnacentral:rRNA from 1 species
UACGAAGGGGGCUAGCGUUGCUCGGAAUCACUGGGCGUAAAGCGCACGUAGGCGGGUCCUUAAGUCGGGGGUGAAAUCCCGGAGCUCAACUCCGGAACUGCCUUCGAUACUGGGGACCUCGAGUCCGGGAGAGGUGAGUGGAACUGCGAGUGUAGAGGUGAAAUUCGUAGAUAUUCGCAAGAACACCAGUGGCGAAGGCGGCUCACUGGUCCGGUACUGACGCUGAGGUGCGAAAGCGUGGGUAGCAAACAGG